rnacentral:lncRNA from 1 species
UCUCUCUCUCUCUCUCUCUCUUUCUUGCCCAAGCUCCGCAGCGCCUUGAACAAGACAUAGUCGAGGUCCGAAAGAAUCGUCAGAGAGAAUAAGUUUCAGAUUUCAUGUACUUUACAAGCUUGAUAAUUGAUACCUGAAGUCACCAACUGAUGUGUAUGAGAAAUUAUGCUGAUUUUGGGGUUUCACUGAUUCUGAAAUCAAUUAGACACCUUACAAAUGGUGAGUAAUGUUCAAUCACAAUUAAGAUGCAAGGAUAAAGUGCUAUUGUGAAUUCUGGCAAGGAUCAAUUAGACUUUAGCUUGAAGCUGAUAGACUUUUGGUAUAGUAUGUAAGCGUUGUUUGGUGUAUGAAUUUGGAUUGCCAUGAUGAAUAGAAGCUUGAUGCCAUUGAAAUAGAGCAUAUGAUAUUGCAACGUUUUAUAUAAGUUUGUCCAAGACCUUUACUUCUUUGUGACUGGAGGUGAUGGUGAAAAUGAACUCAUUUAGCCACUGUCCUUCAGGGAUUCUUUGAUGCAGAUGCCCUUUUCUUGAGGUCUCCUCACUGAGUUGGCUUAUAAUAAGAUACUCUACAAUCUGGAUUUCAGAAAUAAUGCAAUCACACAGUGGUCACAUCUGAAGAACCUCAAUCUGCAUGCUCAAAAGCUUAAAACAGCAAAACAGGUAUUAGCCAGUAUCUUGCCUUUUCUCCUUUGUAUAAAGAAUUUGAAACAGAGUAUGCACAUGCUAUUCUGCUUAGAAUCAUCAAUUAUGCUAUAACCUGCAAGAUUGGCAAAGUUCAAAUAAAUUAAGCGUGCAUUGAAAUACUCAAACAGGGUUCCAUAUAUUACUUCGUCGUCCAUUUCGACUUAUUUAUUUAUGAAGUAUGAAAUGGUUUAAGGACAAUUACUGUGUAGAUCAUAAUAUAUAUUAUAUCAAUCCUCUAAUGUCAGCUUUCAGCAUAUAAAAUGGUCUUGAUACUCCUACUUUAAAUGACAGCGCAUUCUUUUGCAAUUGGUGAAGCCGAAUCCCAGAUAAAGGCAAAUGAUAUUCAUUAAGAAAAGGCUCCAGUUGCAGGUUUCAAUUCUCCAACUAUGAUCUGGAUUUCAGUUGGUUUCAACUAUGAGUGGUACACUGAAAAACUUCUUUUGACUGCCAAAAAGGUUAUUUUGGCAGCCGUAAGAAAACUGGAUCUGCAGACUUGCUUUUUUCAACUUGAGGCGCCAAUAACUUUCACGCUCUAAGCAGAAUUCCGGAAGGACAUAUUAUUGGAUGGCACUACAAUUGUAGUUGGGCAACUCUCAUUGAAUUCGAAGCAAGAAAACCAAAAUCACCACUCUCAGUUUUGAUGAUGAUGCUCCGCAAACCGAAGUCAAAAUCUCUCUCUGACCAAAUCCAAAACCAUAGCUUCUAUACACAAGAACAACAAGAAUGAAGCUGCAAAUACAUCUGUCCAACAUAACACCAGAGCAGUGCUUCAACAUAUAACUACUAAGUUUUACUUGCAUUUAUUCAUUGUAAUGAAAAAAUUUAGAUAAUCUGUACCUGACCGCAAAUGGAAGUGGUAAGGUCUACUUGAUCUCUGAAGGUGGUCUGGAGACAGCUACACCGGCAUGAGAUUGAGAUUCAAUUAGGACAUGACUUCAAUCUGUGUUACGACCAAUUGAAUCUCAAUCUCAUUGUGUUGUAUCUUGCUUCAGACUACCUUUUAAAAUCAGGUAGACCUUGCCCACUUCUCUUUGAGAUCAGAAUAAGUGUACAAACUAAGUAUACAAAAUCAUUGAUAUUCUUAUGUAUACUACAGCCCCUUACUUUUCUAAACAAGUGACUGAUAAUCAUAAUCAUAUACCCCGCAGCAAAGUGCGGGCUAAUAUUGCUAGUUCAAUGCUAAGUCAGGAAUUGUUCUCUGUUGUUAACAGUUAAAAGGGUCUCUUAGAGUCCGGUUAUAGGAUGACAUCUUCUGUUAACAAUAGUAAUUGACAAUGCAUGUGCAGAGCUUGCAUGGAAAGGCAGCUUCAUAAUAAAUAUAUUUUGUGCACAAACAGUAAAGGGUAGAAGAAACUGUUUCAUAUAUUUUUCCCUUCUUAAAGGUAACGAGUGUUGGAAUCAAUACUGAAUGGGGAUUGUUGAUGGCAAGUAUAUCUCUGAGGAUACCUAUAAAGAAACUCUUCUACAAGUUCUUGCAUUUUUUCUAGAAUGUUGUUCUUUAAUUUUGGAAAAUCACUUACAGCUGAUUGCUAUCUAUUUGUGGUCUGAAAGUUAUCUAUACGGCUAGAGCUCUACUCUAGUAAUAUUCAUAUUGUUAUCUCUCUGCUGCGUACAAGUGAUUAUGAUGGAUGUAGGUAGGCUUUUACUAUUCGUCACAAUUGCUUGCAUCUGUUAUUCUAUGGUAAAUUAAAUAUAAAGCCUAAGGUCUAUGAUUUUAGUGCAGACAAGGUUGACAUCGAAACUAAAACCGAAAGCGAAGAAGGCAUGGUUCCAACUUCCUAUAUUAACAUUAAGUUUCUUGUGUUUUUUGUGCUGUGCUUAAUCAUGUUUUCUGUAAUGGUUUGCAAGCUCAUUUUCUUCACUGUUGCUUGAAGUAAAUGAUCUCUUACCAUUCCUGUAAGAGUCUGAUAGAUUGUUCUUUGUUAUGCAGAUUUGUGUUCUUUCCAAUUUCUGACCUGAAACUGUUGAGGAUGCUAGCUAAUGAAGGUCCUGCAGUGUUGUGUUC